rnacentral:rRNA from 1 species
GACGAACGCUGGCGGCGUGCUUAACACAUGCAAGUCGAGCGAGCCUUCGGGCUAGCGGCGAACGGGUGAGUAACACGUGGGCAAUCUGCCCCUAGCUCUGGGAUAACUCCGGGAAACCGGGGCUAAUACCAGAUACGACCUCGAGAGGCAUCUCUCUUGGUGGAAAGAUUUAUCGGCUAGGGAUGAGCCCGCGGCCUAUCAGCUUGUUGGUGGGGUAACGGCCUACCAAGGCGACGACGGGUAGCCGGCCUGAGAGGGCGACCGGCCACACUGGGACUGAGACACGGCCCAGACUCCUACGGGAGGCAGCAGUAGGGAAUAUUGGACAAUGGGCGCAAGCCUGAUCCAGCCAUGCCGCGUGAGUGAUGAAGGCCUUAGGGUUGUAAAGCUCUUUCGGCGGGGAAGAUAAUGACGGUACCCGCAGAAGAAGCCCCGGCUAACUUCGUGCCAGCCGCCGCAGUAACAC